rnacentral:rRNA from 1 species
CCCUUAGAUGUUCUGGGCCGCACGCGUGCUACACUGAGUGGAUCAGCGGGUCAGGUUGCGCGAAAGUGUUUCCUAAUCUUUAAAUCCGCUCGUGAUGGGGAUUGACGGUUGCAAUUUUCCGUCAUGAACGAGGAAUACCUUGUAAGCGCGGGUCAUCAUCCCGCGCUGAAUACGUCCCUGCCCUUUGUACGCACCGCCCGUCGCUCCUACCGAUUGAGUGGUCCGGUGAGGCUUUGGGAUCUGAGCGGAAAGAGCGUUUCGCUGUUUCUGCCCGGAAAACUCAGUCGAACCUUAUCAUUUAGAGGAAGGAGAAGUCGUAACA